rnacentral:rRNA from 1 species
CGGCGCACGGGUGCGUAACGCGUAUGCAACCUACCUUUCACAGAGGGAUAGCCCAGAGAAAUUUGGAUUAAUACCUCAUAGCAUAUAGUCUUGGCAUCAGGAUUAUAUUAAAGUUCCAACGGUGAAAGAUGGGCAUGCGUCCCAUUAGCUAGAUGGUAAGGUAACGGCUUACCAUGGCUACGAUGGGUAGGGGUCCUGAGAGGGAGAUCCCCCACACUGGUACUGAGACACGGACCAGACUCCUACGGGAGGCAGCAGUGAGGAAUAUUGGACAAUGGGCGCAAGCCUGAUCCAGCCAUGCCGCGUGCAGGAUGACGGUCCUAUGGAUUGUAAACUGCUUUUGCACAGGAAGAAACAACGCUACGUGUAGCGUCUUGACGGUACUGUGAGAAUAAGGAUCGGCUAACUCCGUGCCAGCAGCCGCGGUAAUACGGAGGAUCCAAGCGUUAUCCGGAAUCAUUGGGUUUAAAGGGUCCGUAGGCGGUUUAGUAAGUCAGUGGUGAAAGCCCAUCGCUCAACGGUGGAACGGCCAUUGAUAC